UCCCCGGGAAACUGGGAUUAAUACCGGAUGUGGCCCUGGGCCGCGUGGUCUGGGAGCUGAAGGCGAAAGCCGCUUCAGGAUGGGCUCGCGUCCGAUUAGCUAGUUGGCGGGGUAACGGCCCACCAAGGCGAUGACCGGUAGGUGGUCUGAGAGGAUGGUCACCCGCACUGGGACUGAGACACUGCCCAGACUCCUACGGGAGGCUGCAGUCGAGAAUCUUCCGCAAUGGGGGAAACCCUGACGGAGCGAUGCCGCGUGGAGGACGAAGGCCUUCGGGUCGUAAACUCCUGUAACCCGGGACGAAGAUCUGACGGUACCGGGGAAGUAAGCCACGGCUAACUACGUGCCAGCAGCCGCGGUAAUACGUAGGUGGCGAGCGUUAUUCGGAAUUACUGGGCGUAAAGGGUUCGUAGGGGGUCUGUCAAGUCCGGUGUGAAAGCCCGGGGCUCAACCCCGGAAGGGCACUGGAAACUGGCGGGCUUUGAGGGCAGGAGAGGGAAGCGGAAU
rnacentral:rRNA from 1 species